AAAUAAAAUAUAAAUGGUCUGGGCACAGUGGCGCAUGCCUGUUGUUCCAGGUACUGUACUCUGGAGGCUGAGGUGGAAGGAUCGCUGGAGUCCAGGAGCGUCCACGCUGCAGUGAGUCCAAGGUACACCCUGGGAGACGGCAAGAGAAACAUUCACUCCGUGCUUUUUCUCUAUUUUUUUCAUCUUUUCCAUUUUACAAGAGAUGCUCAUUUCAACAACCAGACAGUGGAUGUGACAGGAGAAGUGUCAAGGCCAGGAGUUUGAGACCAGCAUGAGCAACCGAGCAACACAAUCCCUGUACUAAAAACGGAAAGAACCGACACAUGAGAAAUAUGACCUGAGCAUACUGUGCCCAAGAGUGUCGUCACAGCACUCUGGGAGGCCGAUGUGGGAGGAUCGCUGGAGCCUUAAAGUUUGACAUCACCUCGACAUGUGAGAUGACACCUGCAAUAAUAAUAAUCAUAGAAGUUUAAAAAGAGAUUAUGUGUGACAGAGCAUGGACAACAAAGCGAGAGUGCAUCCGUACUAAAAACAAGAUGAUUGAUAGGCAGGCAGGCAGGCAGGCAAAUAUAGAAUGAGCCAGGUGCAGUGUCUCACGCCUGUAAUAGCAGCAGUGUGGGCGGCCGAGGCAGGCAGGUGGAUUGCUUGAGAACAGGAGAUCGAGACCAGCCUGGGCAAGAUGAUAGAACCCCAAACCCCAUCUCACUCACAUAUAUACAUACAUACAUACCUACAUACCUACCUACCUACGGAAAACAUGAGAAACAACAUAAAAGUCAACCGGUGUUGUGGUGCAUGCCUGUAGUCCCAAGUAAUGGGGAUGUGAGAGAUCAGAGGCAGGACAACCGCUUGGUUGGUCCAAAGCGUUGACGCUGGGGUGAUCCUGGGUGACAGAGACAGAGGAAGACCCUGCCAGUAAGGAAGGAAAGAAGGAAAGAAGGAAAGAAGGAAGGAAGGAAGGAAGGAAGGAAGGAAGGAAGGAAGGAAAUAAGCAAGCAAGCAAGCAAAUGAUGAACAUGACAAUGACAUAUAAUAACCCAUGACAAUAAACAAGCAAAUAAGAGGGUAUGAAUAAAGCUAAAAGGUAAUUAAGAUCACAAUCAAUUGUUUUCUCCCCACCCCACCCCACUCCUCCUCACCCCACCUCACCCCACCUCACGUAAGCUGGAGUGGAGGUGCGCGAUCACAGCCCACGUUAGCCUCUGCCUCCUGGGCUUAAGAGAUCCCUGUAGUCCCAGCUACUUGGGAGGC
rnacentral:lncRNA from 1 species